rnacentral:rRNA from 1 species
CGAUAGCGUAUACUAAAGUUGUUGCAGUUAAAAAGCUCGUAGUUGGAUUUCUGGCUCGGCAAGCCUAGCCCGAGGACCUGGUGUCCUUGUGAGCUGGCGCUUGUCGGCCAUCCUUCAGGAGAGUGUUUCUGCCCUUGAUUGGGUUGGGGACAGGAUCCUGAUCGUUUACUUUGAAAAAAUUAGAGUGUUCAAAGCAGGCGUGUGCUGUGAAUACAUUAGCAUGGAAUAAUAAGAUAGGACUUCGGCCCUAUUUUGUUGGUUCUGGAGCUGAGGUAAUGAUUGAUAGGGAUAGUUGGGGGUGCUCGUAUUCAACGGCCAGAGGUGAAAUUCUUGGAUUCGUUGAAGACGAACUUAUGCGAAAGCAUUCACCAAGGAUGUCUUCUUUAA